CAGCAGCCACGGGAAUACGGAGGGUGCAAGCGUUAAUCGGAAUUACUGGGCGUAAAGCGCACGCAGGCGGUCUGACAAGUCAGAUGUGAAAUCCCCGGGCUUAACCUGGGAAUUGCAUUUGAAACUGUCAGGCUGGAGUCUUGUAGAGGGGGGUAGAAUUCCAGGUGUAGCGGUGAAAUGCGUAGAGAUCUGGAGGAAUACCGAUGGCGAAGGCGGCCCCCUGGACAAAGACUGACGCUCAGGUGCGAAAGCGUGGGGAGCAAACAGGAUUAGAUACCCGAGUAGUCCCUGUCUCUUAUAC
rnacentral:rRNA from 1 species